rnacentral:misc_RNA from 1 species
AACUUUUGGCAAUGGAUCUCUUGGUUCUGGCAUCGAUGAAGAACGCAGCGAAAUGCGCUAAGUAAUGUGAAUUGCAGAAUUCAGUGAAUCAUCGAAUCUUUGAACGCACAUUGCGCCCGCCAGUAUUCUGGCGGGCAUGCCUGUUCGAGCGUCAUUUCAACCCUCAAGCCCCAGCGGCCUGGUGUUGGGGACCGGCGACCUCGCAGACGCCCUUCUUGCGCCCAGCGUCCGCCUCCCCCGAAAUGAAUUGGCGGUUUCUUCGCGGCCUCCUCUGCGUAGUAGCACACCCUCGCAACAGGAGCGCGAUGCGGUCACUGCCGUAAAACGCCCAACUGUUUUAGAGUUGACCGCUGAUCAGCUAGGAAUACCCGCUGAACUUAACCAUAUCAAUAAGCGGAGGCU